AGUGAACGCUGGCGGCAGGCCUAACACAUGCAAGUCGAGCGGCAGCGGGUCCCCGCGAGGGGAUGCCGGCGAGCGGCGGACGGGUGAGGAACACAUCGGAAUCUGCCUGGUUGUGGGGGAUAACGUAGGGAAACUUACGCUAAUACCGCAUGCGACCCUGAGUCGACGGACUUGGGGUGAAAGUGAGGGACCUUCGGGCCUCACGCGACCAGAUGAGCCGAUGUCGGAUUAGCUAGUUGGCGGGGUAACGGCCCGCCAAGGCGACGAUCCGUAGCUGGUCUGAGAGGAUGAUCAGCCAC
rnacentral:rRNA from 1 species